rnacentral:rRNA from 1 species
UACGUAGGUGGCAAGCGUUGUCCGGAAUUAUUGGGCGUAAAGAGCGUGUAGGCGGCCUGGCAGGUCCGUUGUGAAAACCCGAGGCUCAACCUCGGGACGUCGAUGGAAACCGUCAGGCUAGAGUCCGGAAGAGGAGAGUGGAAUUCCUGGUGUAGCGGUGAAAUGCGCAGAUAUCAGGAAGAACACCCGUGGCGAAGGCGGCUCUCUGGGACGGUACUGACGCUGAGGCGCGAAAGCGUGGGGAGCAAACGGG